rnacentral:rRNA from 1 species
UGAAGCCCAGCUUGCUGGGUGGAUUAGUGGCGAACGGGUGAGUAACACGUGAGUAACCUGCCCUUGACUCUGGGAUAAGCGCUGGAAACGGCGUCUAAUACCGGAUACGACCUGCCCCGGCAUCGGGUGCGGGUGGAAAGUUUUUCGGUCAAGGAUGGACUCGCGGCCUAUCAGGUAGUUGGUGAGGUAAUGGCUCACCAAGCCGACGACGGGUAGCCGGCCUGAGAGGGUGACCGGCCACACUGGGACUGAGACACGGCCCAGACUCCUACGGGAGGCAGCAGUGGGGAAUAUUGCACAAUGGGCGAAAGCCUGAUGCAGCAACGCCGCGUGGGGGAUGACGGCCUUCGGGUUGUAAACCUCUUUUAGUAGGGAAGAAGGGCUUCGGCUUGACGGUACCUGCAGAAAAAGCACCGGCUAACUACGUGCCAGCAGCCGCGGUAAUACGUAGGGUGCAAGCGUUGUCCGGAAUUAUUGGGCGUAAAGAGCUCGUAGGCGGUUUGUCGCGUCUGCUGUGAAAACCCGAGGCUCAACCUCGGGCCUGCAGUGGGUACGGGCAGACUAGAGUGCGGUAGGGGAGAAUGGAAUUCCUGGUGUAGCGGUGGAAUGCGCAGAUAUCAGGAGGAACACCGAUGGCGAAGGCAGUUCUCUGGGCCGUUACUGACGCUGAGGAGCGAAAGCGUGGGGAGCGAACAGGAUUAGAUACCCUGGUAGUCCACGCCGUAAACGUUGGGAACUAGAUGUGGGGACCUUUCCACGGUCUCCGUGUCGCAGCUAACGCAUUAAGUUCCCCGCCUGGGGAGUACGGCCGCAAGGCUAAAACUCAAAGGAAUUGACGGGGGCCCGCACAAGCGGCGGAGCAUGCGGAUUAAUUCGAUGCAACGCGAAGAACCUUACCAAGGCUUGACAUAUACCGGAAACUUCCAGAAAUGGUUGCCCCGCAAGGUCGGUAUACAGGUGGUGCAUGGUUGUCGUCAGCUCGUGUCGUGAGAUGUUGGGUUAAGUCCCGCAACGAGCGCAACCCUCGUUCUAUGUUGCCAGCACGUCAUGGUGGGAACUCAUAGGAGACUGCCGGGGUCAACUCGGAGGAAGGUGGGGAUGACGUCAAAUCAUCAUGCCCCUUAUGUCUUGGGCUUCACGCAUGCUACAAUGGCCGGUACAAAGGGCUGCGAUACCGUAAGGUGGAGCGAAUCCCAAAAAGCCGGUCUCAGUUCGGAUUGAGGUCUGCAACUCGACCUCAUGAAGUCGGAGUCGCUAGUAAUCGCAGAUCAGCAACGCUGCGGUGAAUACGUUCCCGGGCCUUGUACACACCGCCCGUCAAGUCAUGAAAGUCGGUAACACCCGAAGCCAGUGGCCUAACCGCAAGGAGGGAGCUGUCGAAGGUGGGAUCGG